UACGUAGGGGGCUAGCGUUGUCCGGAAUCAUUGGGCGUAAAGAGCUCGUAGGCGGCUUGUUGCGUCGACCGUGAAAACCCGGGGCUCAACUUCGGGCUUGCGGUCGAUACGGGCGGGCUAGAGUUCGGUAGGGGAGACUGGAAUUCCUGGUGUAGCGGUGAAAUGCGCAGAUAUCAGGAGGAACACCGGUGGCGAAGGCGGGUCUCUGGGCCGAUACUGACGCUGAGGAGCGAAAGCGUGGGGAGCGAACAGG
rnacentral:rRNA from 1 species